rnacentral:lncRNA from 1 species
GUUUGGGCUAUAAACUUUUUGAACUUCACUACCGAUGCAUAGAUAACUAUUCACCACUCAGAUGUCUCAAAGCUCAUCACGUGGAAACUGGCCACGCUCCUAGUACCUGAUAUCCUGCCUCCUGAGACCUACUUUCAGCAUUUCCCUACCUGAAUCAUAUCGAUAUCGGAUUCGACCGCUGAGCUCCGAGAGACGAGGUCGGAUUUUCUUACUCCUGGUUUUGUCGAGGAUUUCGUUAUUGCGAUAAGGAUAUUUGAAGUUCAAGAAUUGGAGACCUGGUGGAUUGGAGCACCUAGGUACCAACGAGGACAUCAAGUCUAUCUUCUCCAGAACUGGCAAAGUCUUCAAACU